rnacentral:rRNA from 1 species
UACGGAGGGUGCAAGCGUUAUCCGGAAUCACUGGGUUUAAAGGGUGCGUAGGCGGCCAGAUAAGUCAGAGGUGAAAGUUUCCGGCUCAACCGGGAGAUUGCCUUUGAUACUGUUUGGCUUGAAUCAGAUUGAGGUUGGCGGAAUGUGACAUGUAGCGGUGAAAUGCAUAGAUAUGUCAUAGAACAUCGAUUGCGAAGGCAGCUGGCUGGAUCUGUAUUGACGCUGAGGCACGAAAGCGUGGGGAGCAAACAGGAUUAGAUACCCUGGUAGUCCACGCCCUAAACGAUGUUUACUCGACAUGGGAUUUUCGGAUUCUGUGUCCAAGCGAAAGCGUUAAGUAAACCACCUGGGGAGUACGUUCGCAAGAAUG